rnacentral:rRNA from 1 species
GAUGAACGCUGGCGGCGUGCCUAAUACAUGCAAGUCGAGCGAACAGACGAGGAGCUUGCUCCUCUGACGUUAGCGGCGGACGGGUGAGUAACACGUGGAUAACCUACCUAUAAGACUGGGAUAACUUCGGGAAACCGGAGCUAAUACCGGAUAAUAUAUUGAACCGCAUGGUUCAAUAGUGAAAGACGGUCUUGCUGUCACUUAUAGAUGGAUCCGCGCUGCAUUAGCUAGUUGGUAAGGUAACGGCUUACCAAGGCGACGAUGCGUAGCCGACCUGAGAGGGUGAUCGGCCACACUGGAACUGAGACACGGUCCAGACUCCUACGGGAGGCAGCAGUAGGGAAUCUUCCGCAAUGGGCGAAAGCCUGACGGAGCAACGCCGCGUGAGUGAUGAAGGUCUUCGGAUCGUAAAACUCUGUUAUUAGGGAAGAACAUAUGUGUAAGUAACUAUGCACGUCUUGACGGUACCUAAUCAGAAAGCCACGGCUAACUACGUG